rnacentral:rRNA from 1 species
GUCCACGCCGUAAACGAUGGGCACUAGGUGCUUAGGGGAGCGACCCUCUGAGUACCGGCGCUAACGCAUGAAGUGCCCCGCCUGGGGAGUACGGCCACAAGGCUGAAACUCAAAGGAAUUGACGGGGGCCCGCACAAGCGGUGGAGCAUGUGGUUUAAUUCGACGCAACGCGCAGAACCUUACCUAGGCUUGACAUGCACGGGAAAGCUGGUGGAAACAUCGGCCCCUCUUCGGAGCCCGUGCACAGGUGCUGCAUGGCUGUCGU